AGCAAUUAAAGUAAUUUGUGAUUAAAUUUUUAUUCUAUUUUUACAAUACGCAGUAAUAGCACCAACAUUGUAUACUUUUUUCAUGAAGACAACUGUUUCAAGUCGUAAAUUAGAAAGCCUGGGGCUGUAAAGCAAAGAAAUCCUGCAAGUUUCAACUGAAAUACAUUAGCAAAACCAUCAAAGCGAUUAAGAAGCAAAACUAUGCGAGUUAAAAAACUUUCCAGCAACACAGCACAUUUGGAUUGUUUUUAAACGUAUUUUUAAGUGUACAUAAAAUAUAAAUUAAAAAGACACGAAUGGGCUGCAUUGCUGGAAGGUUUCCUGACUGAGUGUGAGAGUCUCUUACCAGAACAGACUAGAAUAGACAAGUCAGGACAAAGACAACAGCCCAGAGAGGAAAUGCAAAACCAAGACUUAGAUAGAUGAAGUAACUUGUACUGUUCAUUUUCCCACCAAGAUAAUUAUUACUAUUUUAACAGGAAAAGCCCCCACGUGAGUAAAGCUGCAACCUUAAGCACACUUACUUUGAAGUAAGUGCCACUGAACUCAAGAGGUGCAUACUUCAGAAUAAACAUGCACAAGAUUGUGCUGAACAUAACACAGCAGACUGAAUACCAUCAGUGCUGCAUAAGCAUGCAAACAAUGGGCUGGAGCCAAACUCCAGCAAAUAGAUGACUACAAUAAAUAAAGAGGGAUUGGAUUAAACCAUCCUCACUUGUACAAGCUUUCGUUCUGUUCACUGAGCAUGCUCCCUUACUCACACAAGAACAAACAGGAAUUUAGAUUUUGCCCAAUUCCCCACCUUUGUUGAAGGCUAUCAUGGCUGAAUCACAUAUUAUUCAGGACAGUCCUCCAUUCCUUAGCAGUGUUUUUUUUUAAAGGAAGAUCACUUCUUGGGAGUUUGGAUCCAACCCUAAGGGUGUUGCUACAGCAAUAGUAUGAUCUGUCAAAAGAAGGGUGUGCAGAACUGGACUCCUCUCAACAAGACAUGGCAGUCACCGCCAAGGGAUCCAUUAUAAUUGAUAAUCCCAAAGCUGAGAUUCUGAACCAUGCUGGUCUAAAAACAGAUAACCAUGUUGCUGAACUUUACCAAAAGCUUCUAAAGCUAGAGCAAGAGACUGAGCUACUCAGAGAUAUUAACAGAGCUCUAAGGGAGGAAAAUGUACUUCUGAAAGAAAAAUUGAAAGAAUGUGAAACAGAAACCCAUCGAAGUCAGUACUUGAAUUUUUUAUAUAUUAAAAUACCAGCCUUCUACUUUAAGUAUGUUAAACUUUGACCACCUUAAAGGCAAGACACUAAAAUCACCCAUAAAAAAGCAAGCUACUAAGACGACUCCAUCUGCAUCAAAAGAUACUUAUGCAGUAUGUAACUCUCGGAUAAGCUGUGAUGCUGAAUUUGCAAAAGCCUUCAAAGCCUUCUAUCAGAAUAUGAAUGUAAUCAGAGGACAGUUCUUAAAACUGAAGCACUACAAACCCCCUGAAGAAGAUAAUGUACAACUGCUGCGACAGUUUGCUGAGAAACAAUCACACAUGUUAAAGGAUUUUGGAGACCAACUUGAGUCAUGUAUAAGUAAACUGAAAAAUGAUGUUGCCUUAAUCAUUAAAAAGAAACGAGAAAGACUAGUUAACAGCAAAUAAUGAAGCUGUAGUAGCAACUGUACCAAAUAAAA